UGAAGUUAGGAUUCUCGAAAACGACACCUAAGUUUUCUGGAAAGGAAUGCCACAGAGGGUGAUAGCCCCGUACGGUGUUGACUCGAUACAGAGUCCUAACAUGGAGUCGAGUUGUUUGGGAAUGCAGCUCAAAUGGGUGGUAUGCUCCAUCUAAGGCUAAAUAUUUGCGAGAGACCGAUAGCGAACAAGUACUGUGAAGGAAAGAUGAAAAGAACUUUGAAAAGAGAGUGAAAUAGUACGUGAAAUUGUUGAAAUGGAAGGGUAGGCCGCUAACCAUGUAGGACCGUGUUUGGGGGGAAGAUAAAUGCUGUAGAAUGUG
rnacentral:rRNA from 1 species